rnacentral:rRNA from 1 species
AUACGGAGGGUGCGAGCGUUAAUCGGAAUUACUGGGCGUAAAGCGCACGUAGGCGGUUUGUUAAGUCGGAUGUGAAAUCCCCGGGCUCAACCUGGGACCUGCAUCCGAUACUGGCAGGCUAGAGUCUGGUAGAGGGGGGUAGAAUUCCUGGUGUAGCGGUGAAAUGCGUAGAUAUCAGGAGGAAUACCAGUGGCGAAGGCGGCCCCCUGGACUGAGGCUGACGCUGAGGUGCGAAAGCGUGGGGAGCAAACAGGAUUAGAUACCCUAGUAGUCC